GCUGAGCUCCAGCUUGCUGGGGUGGAUGAGUGGCGAACGGGUGAGUAACACGUGAGUAACCUUCCCUUGACUCUGGGAUAAGCCCGGGAAACUGGGUCUAAUACCGGAUAUGACUUCUCAUCGCAUGGUGGGGGGUGGAAAGAUUUAUCGGUCUUGGAUGGACUCGCGGCCUAUCAGCUUGUUGGUGAGGUAAUGGCUCACCAAGGCGACGACGGGUAGCCGGCCUGAGAGGGUGACCGGCCACACUGGGACUGAGACACGGCCCAGACUCCUACGGGAGGCAGCAGUGGGGAAUAUUGCACAAUGGGCGCAAGCCUGAUGCAGCGACGCCGCGUGAGGGAUGACGGCCUUCGGGUUGUAAACCUCUUUCAGUAGGGAAGAAGCGAAAGUGACGGUACCUGCAGAAGAAGCGCCGGCUAACUACGUGCCAGCAGCCGCGGUAAUACGUAGGGCGCGAGCGUUAUCCGGAAU
rnacentral:rRNA from 1 species